rnacentral:rRNA from 1 species
UACGUAGGGGGCAAGCGUUGUCCGGAAUUAUUGGGCGUAAAGCGCGUGUAGGCGGCCAGAUAAGUCCGCUGUGAAAUCUCGAGGCUCAACUUCGAGCUGUCGGUGGAAACUGUCUGGCUAGAGUCCGGAAGAGGAGAAUGGAAUUCCUGGUGUAGCGGUGAAAUGCGCAGAUAUCAGGAAGAACACUCGUGGCGAAGGCGGUUCUCUGGGACGGUACUGACGCUGAGACGCGAAAGCGUGGGGAGCGAACAGG